rnacentral:rRNA from 1 species
CCAGACUCCUACGGGAGGCAGCAGUGGGGGAUAUUGCACAAUGGGGGAAACCCUGAUGCAGCGACGCCGCGUGAGUGAAGAAGUAAUUCGUUAUGUAAAGCUCUAUCAGCAGGGAAGAAAAUGACGGUACCUGAGUAAGAAGCCCCGGCUAACUACGUGCCAGCAGCCGCGGUAAUACGUAGGUGGCAAGCGUUAUCCGGAUUUAUUGGGUGUAAAGGGCGUGUAGGCGGGAAUGCAAGUCAGAUGUGAAAACUAUGGGCUCAACCCAUAGCCUGCAUUUGAAACUGUAUUUCUUGAGUACUGGAGAGGCAAUCGGAAUUCCGUGUGUAGCGGUGAAAUGCGUAGAUAUUAGGAGGAACACCAGUGGCGAAGGCGGCCUGCUGGACGAUGACUGACGUUGAGGCUCGAAAGCGUGGGGAGCAAACAGGAUUAGAUACCCGGGUACG